GCAUCGAUGAAGAACGCAGUCGAACUUGCGAUACGUAAUGCGAAUUGCAGGAUUCAGUGAGUUCAUCGAAAUUUUGAACGCAUAUUGCACUUCCGGGUUAGUCCUGGAAGUAUGCUCUGUAUCAGUGUCCGUACAACAAACUUGGUCUUUCUUCCUUCCGUGUAGUCGGUGGAGGAGAUGCUCAGAUGUGAAGUGUCUUGUGGUUGGUUUUCGGACUCAGACUGCGAGUCUCUUUUAACAUGUACUAAACUNGAACUUCUUUUUGCUUCCAAAAGUGGUGGCAUUGCUGGUUGUGGAUCGCUGCUAUUGUAGCCGAGUUGGCGAUCCGGUUUGUCUGCUGCGGCGUUAACUGGAGAACAUUGCUCGACUUCGUGGUAUCGGUUGGCUUCGGCUGAACAACUGCGUCUUACUUGGGUGAUUUUCCUGGCUGUGGCGUGAUGGACUGGUGAACCAUGGCUCUUUAGCUUGGCAUUUGAAUCGGCUUUGCUGUUGCGAAAGUAGAGUGGCGGCUUCGGCUGCCGAGGGUCGAUCCAUUUGGGAAAUGUUGUGUACUUCGGUAUGCAUCUCAAUUGGACCUGAUAUCAGGCAAGAUUACCCGCUGAACUUAAGCAUAUCAAUAAGCGGAGGU
rnacentral:rRNA from 1 species